GAUGAACGCUGGCGGCGUGCUUAACACAUGCAAGUCGAACGGUGAACGAGGGAGCUUGCUCCCUCCGGAUCAGUGGCGAACGGGUGAGUAACACGUGAGCAAUCUGCCCCGAACUCUGGGAUAAGCGCUGGAAACGGCGUCUAAUACCGGAUACGACGCGCGAAGGCAUCUUCUGCGCGUGGAAAGAAUUUCGGUUCGGGAUGAGCUCGCGGCCUAUCCGCUAAUUGGUGAGGUAACGGCUCACCAAGGCGACGACGGGUAGCCGGCCUGAGAGGGUGACCGGCCACACUGGGACUGAGACACGGCCCAGACUCCUACGGGAGGCAGCAGUGGGGAAUAUUGCACAAUGGGCGCAAGCCUGAUGCAGCAACGCCGCGUGAGGGACGACGGCCUUCGGGUUGUAAACCUCUUUUAGUAGGGAAGAAGCGAAAGUGACGGUACCUGCAGAAAAAGCACCGGCUAACUACGUGCCAGCCGCCGCCGUAA
rnacentral:rRNA from 1 species